rnacentral:ncRNA from 1 species
AUCCUAUACAGAUGUAUUCAACGCUAGCCAGUUGAGCAUUUCCCUUUAGGAUUAAGUUUAUCAGAAGCUCUGACAACAACUCUUAUUGUGUGGCUGUGGCGCUGUGGUUACAGUUGAAAUGGGAUGAGUUAGGGUGGAAUAGGUUAACCGUAAGACCUUGGGUUGAAAAAUUCUAAAUUGGAGCUAGAGAUAUGGAUUUCUUAAAUUUUGUAUUUUCUGGUUACGGCGAG